rnacentral:rRNA from 1 species
CACGUAGGGCGCAAGCGUUGUCCGGAAUUAUUGGGCGUAAAGAGCUCGUAGGUGGCCUGUCGCGUCGGCUGUGAAAACUCGGGGCUCAACUCCGAGCUUGCAGUCGAUACGGGCAGGCUAGAGUUCGGCAGGGGAGACUGGAAUUCCUGGUGUAGCGGUGAAAUGCGCAGAUAUCAGGAGGAACACCGGUGGCGAAGGCGGGUCUCUGGGCAGUAACUGACGCUGAGGAGCGAAAGCGUGGGGAGCGAACAGG